GUAGGUGGCAAGCGUUGUCCGGAAUUAUUGGGCGUAAAGCGCGCGCAGGCGGUCCUUUAAGUCUGAUGUGAAAGCCCACGGGCUCAACCGUGGAGGGUCAUUGGAAACUGGGGGACUUGAGUGCAGAAGAGGAAAGCGGAAUUCCACGUGUAGCGGUGAAAUGCGUAGAGAUGUGGAGGAACACCAGUGGCGAAGGCGGCUUUCUGGUCUGUAACUGACGCUGAGGCGCGAAAGCGUGGGGAGCAAACAGGAUUAGAUACCCUGGUAGUCCACGCCGUAAACGAUGAGUGCUAAGUGUUAGGGGGUUUCCGCCCCUUAGUGCUGCAGCUAACGCAUUAAGCACUCCGCCUGGGGAGUACGGCCGCAAAGGCUG
rnacentral:rRNA from 1 species